rnacentral:rRNA from 1 species
AUGAACGCUAGCUACAGGCUUAACACAUGCAAGUCGAGGGGCAGCAUGGUCUUAGCUUGCUAAGGCCGAUGGCGACCGGCGCACGGGUGAGUAACACGUAUCCAACCUGCCGUCUACUCUUGGACAGCCUUCUGAAAGGAAGAUUAAUACAAGAUGGCAUCAUGAGUCCGCAUGUUCACAUGAUUAAAGGUAUUCCGGUAGACGAUGGGGAUGCGUUCCAUUAGAUAGUAGGCGGGGUAACGGCCCACCUAGUCUUCGAUGGAUAGGGGUUCUGAGAGGAAGGUCCCCCACAUUGGAACUGAGACACGGUCCAAACUCCUACGGGAGGCAGCAGUGAGGAAUAUUGGUCAAUGGGCGAGAGCCUGAACCAGCCAAGUAGCGUGAAGGAUGACUGCCCUAUGGGUUGUAAACUUCUUUUAUAAAGGAAUAAAGUCGGGUAUGGAUACCCGUUUGCAUGUACUUUAUGAAUAAGGAUCGGCUAACUCCGUGCCAGCAGCCGCGGUAAUACGGAGGAUCCGAGCGUUAUCCGGAUUUAUUGGGUUUAAAGGGAGCGUAGAUGGAUGUUUAAGUCAGUUGUGAAAGUUUGCGGCUCAACCGUAAAAUUGCAGUUGAUACUGGAUAUCUUGAGUGCAGUUGAGGCAGGCGGAAUUCGUGGUGUAGCGGUGAAAUGCUUAGAUAUCACGAAGAACUCCGAUUGCGAAGGCAGCCUGCUAAGCUGCAACUGACAUUGAGGCUCGAAAGUGUGGGUAUCAAACAGGAUUAGAUACCCUGGUAGUCCACACGGUAAACGAUGAAUACUCGCUGUUUGCGAUAUACUGCAAGCGGCCAAGCGAAAGCGUUAAGUAUUCCACCUGGGGAGUACGCCGGCAACGGUGAAACUCAAAGGAAUUGACGGGGGCCCGCACAAGCGGAGGAACAUGUGGUUUAAUUCGAUGAUACGCGAGGAACCUUACCCGGGCUUAAAUUGCAGAUGAAUUACGGUGAAAGCCGUAAGCCGCAAGGCAUCUGUGAAGGUGCUGCAUGGUUGUCGUCAGCUCGUGCCGUGAGGUGUCGGCUUAAGUGCCAUAACGAGCGCAACCCUUGUUGUCAGUUACUAACAGGUUCCGCUGAGGACUCUGACAAGACUGCCAUCGUAAGAUGUGAGGAAGGUGGGGAUGACGUCAAAUCAGCACGGCCCUUACGUCCGGGGCUACACACGUGUUACAAUGGGGGGUACAGAGGGUCGCUACCACGCGAGUGGAUGCCAAUCCCCAAAACCUCUCUCAGUUCGGACUGGAGUCUGCAACCCGACUCCACGAAGCUGGAUUCGCUAGUAAUCGCGCAUCAGCCACGGCGCGGUGAAUACGUUCCCGGGCCUUGUACACACCGCCCGUCAAGCCAUGGGAGCCGGGGGUACCUGAAGUGCGUAACCGCGAGGAGCGCCCUAGGGUAAAACUGGUGACUGGGGCU